GGACGUGAGGGCGAUCUGGUUAUGACAGCUGUCACCCCAGGGUUGAUUCGGCUAAUCUGGCUGGCCAGGCGGGUGUCCCCUUCUUCCCUCACCACUCCAUGUCUGUCCUGCCUGAAGCUAUGCCAUCAGUCAAAGAGGAUGACCAUCCACGAUAGAGAGGGACCGGUCUUCGGUCAAGAGUAUAAGCUGGACUCUCCUGCUAGUACCUCCAAACAAGCUC
rnacentral:lncRNA from 1 species